CCGCCCUUUCCUUGUGCUGCUAGAUAUCGAGGGCUCCGGAUGGGUUCGCUCCUGUUGCUGAGAUCCGGGUCCUUGAGCGUUGAUCGCGUGUUGAGGAGGUCGAGAGAUCCCGGGCCGAGCGGCUACCGCGGUGUAACCCACAGCGGCUACAGGAGGAGAAUGAGCAGUAAAGCGGCCCAUUCGUAAAGGACCGGGAAAUUAGAGGAAUGGAGAUUGGGACUGGUGACCUGAAGGAGCUGCAUAUCCCUAAGUAUGCAUGGAAUUGAAUAAUGAUAUUGAUGGAUGGAGUGAACAGAACCAGAAACAAUGGGCAUAAGAAAAAUGCAUCUGAUAAAAUUGCCUUGAGGCUGUAUAUACAUUUGAAAGGAGUGGUGAAUAACUAACGUGAUAAAUAUUGUAUAGUGAGAUAAACCAAACCAGAAAAAAGAUGCUUAAGAAUACACUUGGGAGUAACAUUGAGGCAAGAAAUUAACUGAAUUAAACAAGGCAAUGUUUAUGAAGUAGUACACCUGGAGAAAUGUUGACGGGCAUGCAAGAUGGAAUAGACAAAAAACAAAGAUUUGAAACUUUGCACACUUGAACAUGUACUUGCUGGAAUUUGUUUACCAUUAUCCUAGUUAUUGACUUCAUCCAUGUAAUGUUUUGUGGUUAUUGUAAUUUUAUCAUUUGCUGCAAUAAAAGGAUAAUAAAUGCAAAUUUGUUAACUUUUCUAAAAGCUUCAUUAAUUUGCUUAUAAAAAAAACUAACAUGGGAUAUACCCAAAGUAAAGGUAUACUUCAGAAACUAUUGAGUUUCUCUCCUUCAUUAUCGUAAAAUACCUUGUUGCUGAAUUUCUCGUUCUGUGUGAAAUAAUAUGGGGAAUGUGACAAAAGCAGAGAAAUUAUUUUUAACUUAGUCACCGCAGUUCGGUCAUCAUCUACAUUUGUUCCUUGAAAAUAUUUUAAUUAACAUAAACCCCACACUAUUGCAGGAUGCUGAUGUGUUUUGUUUGAAAGGAUAGUGUUGUGAAUCCUCAAGAAAGCUAUACAAAAUUGAGGUUGAAGAUGUGAAAUAAAAUAAACAUUCAAAAUAUUAAAUAAAA